UACAGAGGGGGCAAGCGUUGUUCGGAAUUACUGGGCGUAAAGGGCGCGUAGGCGGCCUGCUAAGUCGAACGUGAAAUCCCUGGGCUCAACCCAGGAACUGCGUCCGAUACUGGUUGGCUUGAAUCCGGGAGAGGGAUGUGGAAUUCCAGGUGUAGCGGUGAAAUGCGUAGAUAUCUGGAGGAACACCGGUGGCGAAGGCGGCGUUCUGGCUCGCAACUGACGCUCAGACACGACAGCAUGGGGAGCGAACGGG
rnacentral:rRNA from 1 species